UGAAGUCGUAACAAGGUAGCCGUAGGGGAACCUGCGGCUGGAUUACCUCCUUAUUUAUAGACUUGAAGUUGCUUAAGUGUUCACACAAAUUGCUUGAUGAUUUUAUUGUUUAGUGAGAAUGAUAUUUGUUCUUUAACAAUGUGGUAAAAAGUAUAAGUAAAGAUUCCUUGAUUAAUUUAGGGUUAUUUUUAGUUUAGGUUGAGAUGUAUUUUUAUGUCUUGAUUGAUGAUUAGAGAUAAUUUUUAGUUUAUUUAAUUAACGAGUCUUGGUAAUUUUUGAAAACCGGUGUUGAGAUAUAAUUUUGAUUGGUUUUAGUUAAUAGAUUAUAGAUUUAUUGAUAUAAGACUUUUUGGGGUUAUAUGAUCAAGUGAAUAAGUGCAUACGGUGGAUGCCUUGGCAGUUAGAGGCGAUGAAAGACGUAAGAGCCUGCGAAAAGUUUCGGGGAGGUGGCAAAUAACCUUUGAUCCGAAGAUGUCUGAAUGGGGAAACCCACUGACCAUAAGGUCGGUAUCAUGCACUGAAUACAUAGGUGUAUGAGGCGAACCUGGGGAACUGAAACAUCUAAGUACCCAGAGGAAAAGAAAUCAACCGAGAUUCUGUGAGUAGCGGCGAGCGAAAGCGGAUUAGCCCAAAAGUUUAUUAUGUUGUAGUGGAACACUCUGGGAAGUGUGGCGAUAGAGGGUGAUAGCCCCGUACACGAAAUGGCAUAGUAGAUGAAACAAGAGUAGGUCGGGACACGUGUUAUCCUGAUUGAAGAUGGGGGGA
rnacentral:misc_RNA from 1 species